rnacentral:rRNA from 1 species
UACAGAGGUCCCAACCGUUGUUCGGAUUCAUUGGGCGUAAAGGGUGCGUAGGCGGCGGGGCAAGUCAGGUGUGAAAUCUCGGGCUCAACCCGAAACUGCACUUGAUACUGCCUUGCUCGAGUACUGGAGAGGAGACUGGAAUUUACGGUGUAGCAGUGAAAUGCGUAGAUAUCGUAAGGAAGACCAGUGGCGAAGGCGAGUCUCUGGACAGUUACUGACGCUGAGGCACGAAGGCCAGGGAGCAAACGG